GACGAACGCUGGCGGCGUGCUUAACACAUGCAAGUCGAGCGGAAAGGCCACUUCGGUGGUACUCGAGCGGCGAACAGGUGAGUAACACGUGAGUAAUCUGCCCCUGGCUUUGGGCUAGCCACCGGAAACGGUGAUUAAUACCGGAUACGACCACUUCUCGCAUGGGAUGGUGGUGGAAAGUUUUUUCGGCCAGGGAUGUGCUCGCGGCCUAUCAGCUUGAUGGUGAGGUAAUGGCUCACCAUGGCUUCGACGGGUAGCCGGCCUGAGAGGGUGACCGGUCACACUGGGACUGAGACACGGCCCAGACUCCUACGGGAGGCAGCGGUGGGGAAUAUUGGACAAUGGGCGGAAGCCUGAUCCAGCAACGCCGCGUGAGGGAUGACGGCCUUCGGGUUGUAAACCUCUUUCAGCAGGGACGAAGCGCAAGUGACGGUACCUGCAGAAGAAGCACCGGCCAACUACGUGCCAGCCGCCGCGGUAA
rnacentral:rRNA from 1 species